UGAGGAAUAUUGGUCAAUGGGCGGAAGCCUGAACCAGCCAUGCCGCGUGAAGGAUUAAGGCCCUACGGGUCGUAAACUUCUUUUGACGCAGAGCAAUAAGGUUUACGUGUAGACCGAUGAGAGUAUGCGUCGAAUAAGCAUCGGCUAACUCCGUGCCAGCAGCCGCGGUAAUACGGAGGAUGCGAGCGUUAUCCGGAUUUAUUGGGUUUAAAGGGUGCGUAGGCGGAGAUGUAAGUCAGUGGUGAAAGGUCCCGGCUCAACCGGGGAGCUGCCAUUGAUACUGCGUUUCUUGAAUGCGGAUGCCGUGGGAGGAAUGUGUGGUGUAGCGGUGAAAUGCAUAGAUAUCACACAGAACACCGAUUGCGAAGGCAUCUCACGAAUCCGUAAUUGACGCUGAGGCACGAAAGCGUGGGGAU
rnacentral:rRNA from 1 species